rnacentral:rRNA from 1 species
AGAGUUUGAUCAUGGCUCAGAUUGAACGCUGGCGGCAUGCCUUACACAUGCAAGUCGAACGGCAGCGCGGGAGCAAUCCUGGCGGCGAGUGGCGAACGGGUGAGUAAUACAUCGGAACGUGCCCAAUCGUGGGGGAUAACGCAGCGAAAGCUGUGCUAAUACCGCAUACGAUCUACGGAUGAAAGCAGGGGAUCGCAAGACCUUGCGCGAAUGGAGCGGCCGAUGGCAGAUUAGGUAGUUGGUGAGGUAAAGGCUCACCAAGCCUUCGAUCUGUAGCUGGUCUGAGAGGACGACCAGCCACACUGGGACUGAGACACGGCCCAGACUCCUACGGGAGGCAGCAGUGGGGAAUUUUGGACAAUGGGCGCAAGCCUGAUCCAGCCAUGCCGCGUGCAGGAUGAAGGCCUUCGGGUUGUAAACUGCUUUUGUACGGAACGAAAAGUCUCUUUCUAAUAAAGAGGGAUCAUGACGAUACCGUAAGAAUAAGCACCGGCUAACUACGUGCCAGCAGCCGCGGUAAUACA